rnacentral:rRNA from 1 species
UACGGAGGGUGCGAGCGUUGUCCGGAAUCACUGGGCGUAAAGGGCGCGUAGGUGGCGCGACAAGUCAACGGUGAAAGCUCGGCGCUCAACGCCGAGUCGGCCGUCGAUACUGUUGGGCUGGAGCACUGUAGAGGCAGAUGGAAUUCCGGGUGUAGCGGUGGAAUGCGUAGAGAUCCGGAAGAACACCGGUGGCGAAGGCGGUCUGCUGGGCAGUAGCUGACACUGAGGCGCGACAGCGUGGGGAGCAAACAGGG